UACGUAGGGGGCAAGCGUUGUCCGGAUUUAUUGGGCGUAAAGAGCGUGUAGGCGGUUUGGUAGGUCCGCUGUGAAAACUCGAGGCUCAACCUCGAGACGCCGGUGGAAACCAUCAGGCUAGAGUCCGGAAGAGGAGAGUGGAAUUCCUGGUGUAGCGGUGAAAUGCGCAGAUAUCAGGAAGAACACCCGUGGCUAAGGCGGCUCUCUAGUACGGUACUGACGCUGAGACGCGAAAGCGUGGGGAGCGAACGGG
rnacentral:rRNA from 1 species